CCUACGGGGGGCAGCAGUGGGGAAUAUUGGACAAUGGGCGAAAGCCAGAUCCAGCAAUGCCGCGUGUGUGAAGAAGGUCUUCGGAUUGUAAAGCACUUUCGACGGGGACGAUGAUGUCGGUACCCGUAGAAGAAGCCCCGGCUAACUUCGUGCCAGCAGCCGCGGUAAUACGAAGGGGGCUAGCGUUGCUCGGAAUGACUGGGCGUAAAGGGCGCGUAGGCGGUUUAUGCAGUCAGAUGUGAAAUCCCCGGGCUUAACCUGGGAACUGCAUUUGAGACGCAUAGACUAGAGGUCGAGAGAGGGUUGUGGAAUUCCCAGUGUAGAGG
rnacentral:rRNA from 1 species